AGAGUUUGAUCCUGGUUCAGGAUGAACGCUAGCGGCAGGCUUAACACAUGCAAGUCGAGGGGCAUCCGGAGGGAAGCUUGCUUUCAUUGCCGGCGACCGUGCCUCGGGUGAGAAACACGAAUGCCACCUGCCCUCUUCGCGGGGACAACCUUCACAAAGGGAGGCUAAUCCCGCUUAUAUCGGUUUCGGGCUUCCAACAUCGAGGAAAGAUUCAUCGAAAUAUGAUGGGCGUGCAGCGCCUUACCUAUAAUGCGGGGUAACGGCCCGCCGCGGCCACCAUGCCUAAGGAUUCUGAGAGGAACGUCCCCCACAGUGGCACUGAUACAAAGACCAAACUCCUACGGGAUGCAGCAGUGAGGAAUAUUGGUCAAUGGGAGAGAUCUUGACCCAGCCAAUCGGCGUGAGGGAAGACGCCCUUAUGGUUGGUAACCUUCUUUGUUAGGAGACCAAACCCCGGGAGGAGUCCCGGAAUGAGUGUAUCUGAAGAAAAAGCAUCGGCUAACUCCGUGCCAGCAGCCGCGGUAAUACGGAGGAUGCGAGCGUUAUCCGGAUUUAUUGGGUUUAAAGGGUGCGUAGGCGGUCCGUUAAGUCAGCGGUAAAAUUGCGGGGCUCAACCCCGUCGAGCCGUUGAAACUGCCAGACUUGAGUGGGCGAGAAGUACGCGGAAUGCGUGGUGUAGCGGUGAAAUGCAUAGAUAUCGCGCAGAACUCCGAUUGCGAAGGCAGCGUACCGGCGCCAGACUGACGCUGAGGCACGAAAGCGUGGGGAUCGAACAGGAUUAGAUACCCUGGUAGUCCACGCAGUAAACGAUGAAUGCUGGUUGUCGGGGUUGACCGAGAUGUGGGCCGGGAAGAGAAAUCGAUAUGCCUUCCGCGGGGGGAGUAGGCAGGCAACGAGUGUCACUCAAAGGAAUGGGCGGGGGCCCGAACGAACGGAGGUACAUGUGGUUUUAAUUGGAUGAUAAGGGACGAACCUUGCCCGGGCUCACAGGGGAGUCGAUCGGACCAGAGACGGUUCCCCGCAAGGGUCGUUUCCGAGGUGCUGCAUGGUUGUCGUCAGCUCGUGCCGUGAGGUGUCGGCUUAAGUGCCAUAACGAGCGCAACCCCCGCCGGCAGUUGCUAACGGGCAAUGCAGAGGACUCUGUCGGGACUGCCGCCGCAAGGCGAGAGGAAGGCGGGGAUGACGUCAAAUCAGCACGGCCCUUACGUCCGGGGCGACACACGUGUUACAAUGGCAGGUACAGCGGGAAGCCAGGCGGCGACCCCGAGCGGAACCCGAAAGCCGUUCUCAGUUCGGAUCGGAGUCUGCAACCCGACUCCGUGAAGCUGGAUUCGCUAGUAAUCGCGCAUCAGCCACGGCGCGGUGAAUACGUUCCCGGGCCUUGCACACACCGCCCGUCA
rnacentral:rRNA from 1 species